AACUCUCAAAAACCAUACGGUCUUCGGACCGUGUGGGGCUUGGAUGUGUGCGGGAACUGCCCUUCGGGGCAGCCGCUUUAAUUUGAUUGUGUGUGUCACGGUAAACCAUGCCGGGAACACAAGAGCAACAGAUUUCUAUUUCUCUUGUGACUCGGACGUGUGAUAUCGGGUCAUCCACCCCAUCAAUUAUACAGGAUGCGCGUCUACUUUGAUGCGUGUUCUGAUU
rnacentral:misc_RNA from 1 species